rnacentral:rRNA from 1 species
AUUGAACGCUGGCGGCAUGCUUUACACACGCAAGUCGAACGGUAACAGGCCGCAAGGUGCUGACGAGUGGCGAACGGGUGAGUAAUGCAUCGGAACGUGCCCAGUCGUGGGGGAUAACGCAGCGAAAGCUGCGCUAAUACCGCAUACGACCUAUGGACGAAAGCGGGGGACCGAAAGGCCUCGCGCGAUUGGAGCGGCCGAUGUCAGAUUAGGUAGUUGGUGGGGUAAAGGCUCACCAAGCCAACGAUCUGUAGCUGGUCUGAGAGGACGACCAGCCACCCUGGGACUGAGACACGGCCCAGACUCCUACGGGAGGCAGCAGGGGGGAAUUUUGGACAAUGGGCGCAAGCCUGAUCCAGCAAUGCCGCGUGCAGGAAGAAGGCCUUCGGGUUGUAAACUGCUUUUGUACGGAACGAAAAGGCUCUGGUUAAUACCUGGGGCUCAUGACGGUACCGUAAGAGUAAGCACCGGCUAACUACGUGCCAGCAGCCGCGGUAACAC